UUUGACUCGUGCAAGUUCCAUGUUGCUUUACCAGAAUGAUGGAUUUUGAAUAUGCUCAUAAUGGGACUCUCUUUGAACUUUUGCAUACUGAGUGUCUUAUUCUGGGACUGUAGCUAUUGUGAUUUACCCCCGACUGUUACGUAACUUUGUUACGUCUGCUUGAUCAAACUAUUUAGAAAAUACCUUUAUUUGGCAUAUGGUGUUGGUAGAAUGUGUCUUUGGUCUCAUGUAGUUAAUUAUGCUGGUAAUUAGAAAAGUAAUCAUUGUUUCGCCUUAGCGUCAUAAGAUGUUUGACCACCAUACUCUAAAUGCUUGCGAUUAUUAACUUGAAGAAUCAUUAGGUAUAAACAGAUGGUUCAUGGCUUCACGCUCAAUAAGUCAUUUUUGGAAUUCAUAUCUGCUCUUUCUACUAUGUAUGUUUUGCUUGCCAAGCCACAAAUAACUAUUCUUCAAUGCUACUGAUAUACCUACUAUUUAUGCUCAGAUGUUUCUUAUGACAAUGUGAUAAAAAACUACUCUAUGUGACUUAAAUAUUAAUGUUUGCCUUUAUUUCCUUUUUUUAAAAAAUAAUUGUAAUGGACUUAUAGUCAAAAGACGAGUAUAGACGAAAAGGAAAAAAUUGAUCAAUGCAUUCACUCAAUUGACAUAAUAAAUAAUAGACGCAAGUAGCUUGGAAUAAAGAAGGGUGAAAUUAGGGGUUGAUCUACCUUUUCAGCCCGAGUUAAGAGAAAGGAAUGGUCUCACUCAAGAGGAAUGCGCCUUUAUUAAACAAAGAAGCUGAGCAAUUGACAUUGAAUAAGAGUGAGUGAUCAAAUUGUACUAUAUUAGGAGAGGGCUUUCCUCUUAUCUCUCAAAUUGUAUGGUUUUUGCGUAAUUAAAACUCACAUGGAUCUUGACCAUUUUGUUAAUAUUUUUCUACCUCUAUAGUGAUUACUGCAUCUAAACCAGCUCUCCCUUGCCUUUGUGCUCUAUUAUGUUAGAAAAAAUUCUUAAUUCUUGACUCUUGCAGUAAGGGAAGCUGAAUAUUUUCAUUGAAAUAUGCAAAUGAGGAUAGCAAUGACAUGACAUACUGCCUUGAGCACUAGCUGAACUCAUCGCUAUUGUUACCAUAAAGACUUGACUUUCUCCUCACUGUACAACACAAAAACUCUGCAACCAUCCAGGAAUGGGAAUAUCCAACUUUUCUAUUGAGGCUUUAAGCGCGCAACUACCCCAUUAAAUUUUCUAUUGUUUGUUGAAGAGGAGGAAAAUAUCAUUCAAGAUUAAAUUUCUGCGGCAAAAGUGAAGUGCCAAUUUCAGUCAACCGUUACUGCCAAUGUUCUUGCUAUUGUAAGUUGAUAGUUUCUACCUUUGUUGGAGUGAUGAAACAACAAGAUAUAUUUCAGCUUCCUGUACAAACUUUUCAUGGAACCUAGACUGUAGUUAUAAACUUUUUUGGGUUGAAUGUAGCUACGUUAAUUGAGCUCUUUUAAAGAUGGCAAUAAGAAACUCCCACAUGAGAACACUUCUGCUAUUAAGACUGAUUUAAGUGAUUUUUUUUUUGGUUUGCCUUAUUUAGUUAUUUUUGGUUAUUUAUAUUGAACAUACAAAGUUUAUUUUGUUUGUUCAUUCUAUAUGUUAUAGGACCAAAUAAUAAACCUACACUUUUGAAGGAGUACAAAUUGUUUGGUCAUUAUGAAUUUAGGUGUUUCACGCCUAUAUGGGAAUGUAGAUAUCCUGCUUUGACAUUGUAAAAUCAAACAUGUCUAUGUCGAGAUGCAGGAAGAACUAAUUGCACAUGAAUGGUUAUGAGAUAAUGGAAGGAAGACUUAUUAGUCUGUUAUAUUGAUAUAUGUAAGGUUAUAUGAUUUGUAGUUUAUGUUGAUUAUUUCUCCUAGA
rnacentral:lncRNA from 1 species